GUUCGUUCGGGUUGUGGCCUUCUGAGGGUUGGUUUAUGCCCUUGCUCUUGGAAUAUGAGUGGAUGUUCGGCGUUGCUUGUGAUGUCAAUUGAAGCUAGCGAGAUAAAAUGGACUUGCAAAGGGUCAAAAAGACAAAAGAAGACAUUUUGUUUCAGACGUGUUUGUACCUCUGAGUGCAGAAGAGGAAACGUUCGCACUUCAGUCGGAAUUAGAGGCUGUGGAGAAGCAGAUCCAGGAUUUACUUGAGAAGCAGUCAUGGCUGCGAGAACGUAAAACGGCACUGGAAACAUCCCGCAAAUCCGUGAGUCCAGGCUUCGAGAACACGAUCAGCCCAAAUGAACUUCACUCCAAGGCGCGAGCCAGGACUGGAGCGAUGACCCAACUGCCGCCACCGGUCUUUGAGAUCCCAACCAGGAACCGUUUUGCCGCCCUCUGCGAGACAGAAUGCAACGCUGUGGUCAUCGGAGACUCAAUCGUCCGGAACGUAUGCGCUUCCUCCACUAAAGGUAAGGUGCGCACUCAUUGUUUUCCUGGCACCCGUGUUCUUGAUGUCUCUGUGCAGGUACCUGCGAUCCUGAAGGACGACGCUAACGUCGGAGCUGUCGUGCUGCACGCGGGGGUGAACGAUGUCAGGAUGCGGCAACGCAUCGCCCACGGCGAGGAUCAUCAUAUCAGGGCCGCUUCCUACCUACCGACGAGGGAAUGAAAAGUUCAGUAGACUAUUUGCGCUAAAUAAAUGGUUGAUGUCAUGGUGUAUUGAACAGAAGCUGCUCUUUGUUAAUAAUUUUGAUUUGUUCUGGGAGUGACCUAGGCUCUUCCGCCCCGACGGCCUGCACCCCAGCAGCAUCGGAGCGGAUCUUCUCUCUGACAACAUCUCAAAGACGCUACGCACCGUUUGACUAUGUCUCCCACCGGAAGAUUUAAUUAAACUGUGAUGAGGGAGGCACGACGAGAGCCGUGGGAGGAGGAAGCGAGGCCGGGACGCGAUUGAUAAUGAGUGUCAGCUGGGCGUCACUGGCCUCAUAUCUCUCACGGAGGA